UGGACCAAUGGUAGAGACUGGUGGUGAAUGAGUCAUAGACGAAAAUAUAUAUCUAAAACUGAGGUCCAG